rnacentral:rRNA from 1 species
AACGAACGCUGGCGGCGUGCCUAAUACAUGCAAGUAGAACGCUGUAGCGAACGGGUGAGUAACGGGUAGGUACCUGCGUUAUAGCGGGGGACAACUGGUGGAAACACUAGGAAACACCGCAUACUGUGAGAGGGACCUGCGUUGUAUUAGCCAGUUGGUGAGGUAAAGGCUUACCAAGGCGACGAUACAUAGCCGACCUGAGAGGGUGAACGGCCACAACUGGACUGGGAAACGGCCCAGACCCCUACGGGAGGCAGCAGUAAGGAAUCGUCGGGAAUGGAAGGAAGUCUUACCGGGCAACUCCGCGGGAGUGAAGAAGGUUUUCGGAUCGUAAAGCUCUGUUGGUAGAGAAGCGGUAACUAACCAGAAAGGGACGGCUAACUACGUGCCAGCCGCCGCGGUAAUUC